AGAGUUUGAUCAUGGCUCAGAACGAACGCUGGCGGCGUGCCUAACACAUGCAAGUCGCACGAGAAAGUCCUUCGGGAUGAGUAGAGUGGCGCACGGGUGAGUAAUGCAUGGGAACGUGCCUCUAAGUGGGGGAUAACUACGGGAAACUGUAGCUAAUACCGCAUAAUUAUCGAGAGAUUAAAGAUGGCCUCUGCUUGCACGCUAUUGCUUAGAGAUCGGCCCAUGUCCCAUUAGCUAGUUGGCGGGGUAACGGCCCACCAAGGCUACGAUGGGUAGCUGGUCAGAGAGGAUGAUCAGCCACACUGGAACUGAGACACGGUCCAGACUCCUACGGGAGGCAGCAGUGGGGAAUUUUGCACAAUGGGGGAAACCCUGAUGCAGCAACGCCGCGUGAGUGAUGAAGGCCCUUGGGUCGUAAAGCUCUUUCGGUUGGGAAGAAGGGUGAUAUAGCUAAUAUCUAUGUCAUUUGACGGUACCAAAAUAAGAAGCACCUGCUAACUUCGUGCCAGCAGCAGCGGUAAUACGAAGGGUGCGAGCGUUGUUCGGAAUUACUGGGCGUAAAGGGCGCGUAGGCUGGUUUGUAAGUCGAAUGUGAAAUCCCCGGGCUUAACCCGGGACGUGCAUUCGAAACUGCAGAUCUUGAAUGCUUAAGAGGGUGGUGGAAUUCCAGGAGUAGAAGUGAAAUUCGUAGAUAUCUGGAGGAACACCUGAGGCGAAGGCGGCCACCUGGUAAGACAUUGACGCUGAGGCGCGAAAGUGCGGGGAGCAAACAGGAUUAGAUACCCUGGUAGUCCGCACCAUAAACGAUGGAUACUAGAUGUUUGGAGAAUUAACCCUCCGAGUAUCAAAGCUUACGCAUUAAGUAUCCCGCCUGGGGAGUACGGCCGCAAGGCUGAAACUCAAAGGAAUUGACGGGGGCCCGCACAAGCGGUGGAGUAUGUGGUUUAAUUCGAAGCAACGCGCAGAACCUUACCUGGGUUUGACAUCCUACGAAUACUGCAGAGAUGUAGUAGUGUCGCAAGACACGUAGAGACAGGUGCUGCAUGGCUGUCGUCAGCUCGUGUUGUGAAAUGUUGGGUUAAGUCCCGCAACGAGCGCAACCCCUAUCCUUAGUUGCCACCAUUAAGUUGGGCACUCUGGGGAGACCGCCGGUGUUAAACCGGAGGAAGGCGGGGAUGACGUCAAGUCCUCAUGGCCCUUACAUCCAGGGCUACACACGUACUACAAUGGUAGAAACAAAGUGACGCAAAGCCGUAAGGUGGAGCAAAUCACAAAAACACUACCUCAGUUCGGAUUGAGGUCUGCAACUCGACCUCAUGAAGCUGGAAUCGCUAGUAAUCGCAGAUCAGCACGCUGCGGUGAAUACGUUCCCGGGCCUUGUACACACCGCCCGUCACACCACGAAAGUGGUCAUAACCAGAAGCAGGCAAGCUAACCGCAAGGAGGCAGCCUACCAAGGUUGUGGCCGUGAUUGGGGUGAAGUCGUAACAAGUA
rnacentral:rRNA from 1 species